rnacentral:rRNA from 1 species
GAUGAACGCUGGCGGCGUGCCUAAUACAUGCAAGUCGAGCGAACGGACGAGACGCUUGCUUCUCUGAUGUUAGCGGCGGACGGGUGAUUAACACGUGGAUAACCUACCUAUAAGACUGGGAUAACUUCGGGAAACCGGAGCUAAUACCGGAUAAUAUUUUGAACCGCAUGGUUCAAAAGUGAAAGCCGGUCUUGCUGUCACUUAUAGAUGGAUCCGCGCUGCAUUAGCUAGUUGGUAGGGUAACGGCUUACCAAGGCAACGAUGCAUAGCCGACCUGAGAGGGUGAUCGGCCACACUGGAACUGAGACACGGUCCAGACUCCUACGGGAGGCAGCAGUAGGGAAUCUUCCACAAUGGGCGAAAGCCUGACGGAGCAACGCCGCGUGAGUGAUGAAGGUCUUCGGAUCGUAAAACUCUGUUAUUAGGGAAGAACAUAUGUGUAAGUAACUGUGCACAUCUUGACGUUACCUAAUCAGAAAGCCACGGCUAACUACGUG